rnacentral:tRNA from 1 species
GGGGGUUUAGCUCAGUGGUAGAGCGCUUGCCUAGGAAGCUCAAGGCCCUGGGUUCAGUCCCCAGCUCCG